rnacentral:rRNA from 1 species
GGCUUAACACAUGCAAGUCGAGGGGCAGCAUGAGGCCAGCUUGCUGGUCUUGAUGGCGACCGGCGCACGGGUGCGUAACACGUAUCCAACCUUCCCACCGCUCAGGGAUAGCCUUCCGAAAGAAAGAUUAACACCUGAUGGUCUCACAUGGGGACAUCCCUGUGUGAGUAAAGAUUUAUCGGCGUUGGAUGGGGAUGCGUCCGAUUAGGUAGCAGGCGGGGUAACGGCCCACCUGGCCUACGAUCGGUAGGGGUUCUGAGAGGAAGGUCCCCCACACUGGAACUGAGACACGGUCCAGACUCCUACGGGAGGCAGCAGUGAGGAAUAUUGGUCAAUGGGCGGAAGCCUGAACCAGCCAAGUAGCGUGAGGGACGACGGCCCUACGGGUUGUAAACCUCUUUUGUUUGGGAAUAAAGUGCGGGACGCGUCCCGCUUUGCAUGUACCAUGCGAAUAAGCAUCGGCUAAUUCCGUGCCAGCAGCCGCGGUAAUACGGAAGAUGCGAGCGUUAUCCGGAUUUAUUGGGUUUAAAGGGAGCGUAGGCGGGCCCUUAAGUCAGCGGUUAAAUGUCAUGGCCCAACCUUGUCAUGCCGUUGAAACUGGGGGUCUUGAAUGCACACAAGGGCGGUGGAAUUCGUCGUGUAGCGGUGAAAUGCUUAGAUAUGACGAAGAACUCCGAUUGCGAAGGCAGCCGCCUGGGGUGCGAUUGACGCUGAGGCUCGAAAGUGCGGGUAUCGAACAGGAUUAGAUACCCUGGUAGUCCGCACCGUAAACGAUGGAUGCUCGUUCUGGGCGACAGACAGUCCGGGACCGAGGGAAACCAUUAAGCAUCCCACCUGGGGAGUACGCCGGCAACGGUGAAACUCAAAGGAAUUGACGGGGGCCCGCACAAGCGGAGGAACAUGUGGUUUAAUUCGAUGAUACGCGAGGAACCUUACCCGGGCUUGAACUGCGCCUGCUGUGACCGGAGACGGUCAUUCCCUUCGGGGCAGGCGUGAGGUGCUGCAUGGUUGUCGUCAGCUCGUGCCGUGAGGUGUCGCUUAGUGCCAUACGAGCGCACCCUUGCGCGUGCAUCACGUGGUGGUGGGCACUCCGGCGACUGCAUCGCAGAUGUGAGAAGGUGGGAUGACGUCAAUCAGCACGCUACGUCGGCUACCACCCGUGUUACAUUGGGGCAAGCGCGCGCUACCUGGGACGGAUGCAUCUGGAUCCCUUCAUCGAACGGAUCACGAUUCGGACUGACUCGUGAUAUCCGCAUCACAUUAGCGCGGUGAUACU